AUGGCGUGGAUCACCACCGCUUCCUUCAACCCCUCUUCCCUGACCGGGCCAUACGUCGCCGGCGGCGCCGCCGCCGCCUCCCCACGCUCCUCCGCCUAUCCCGACUGGGUCCUACUCCGCAAGACGGCGCGCAUCUCGGCGUUCCGGAACGUGACCACCGCCGAGGGCCGCACGGCCGAGGGCCGAGCCGUCGAGGCGUCCUUCUGGCUCGUCGACCCGCCGGGCGUCUCCUACUUCUCCGUCCACUGCCCCAGCCUCCAGGAGGACGACUUCUCCGGCGAGCCCCAGGUCGUCUGCGCCGAGGCCGCCUUCGUCCUCUUCCGCGUCAGAUUCAGCUUCCCCAGCGAGAGGCGGAUCUCCACCCACCACUUCGUCUACACGGCCCGCGGCGCUGCGGGGCCGCCCUCACUGCAACUCCUCCCGGUGCCCCCCGGCGUUGAGGACGUCAAAUCCCAUCAGCUUGGCCUCUUGCCGCGCGGCGGCGAGCACUACGCCGUCGCCUUCCUCGAUCGCAAUUGGACCGCCCAAGGUGACGCCUGGCAGUGGCAGUUCGAUGCCUACGUCUUCUCGCCAGAGACAUGUUCCUCGCUGGGCUUAUCGGAGGCCUCGCUGGGCUUAUGCGACCUCCAAGCAGGUCCGGGCCAGAAGCCCGCUCGUCCCGUCCACCCUCUGGUCGGAGCAAGCACACUGGGCUGGGUUGAUAUCUCACGCGGCAUUACUCUCCUCUGCGACCUGUUCGACGAGUGUCCUGUCGUGAAAUACGUCCCCUUCCCGGCGACAGUGGUUUGCGUCGCACCCUACUACCGUCUCACUCGUCACUCGGCGCAAUGCUUCCACGAUGUCGCCUGCUAUGAGGGUCUGAUCAAAUUCGUCGAGAUAGGCUUCGAUGAACCUGACUGCAUGAUAAAGGGUAAAGGCUGGAGAGCCACCACAUGGAUCAGAAACAUCUCUUGGGGAAGUUGGCGCAAGCACACCAGAGUUGAUGUCGCUAACAUCUCGGUUGACCAAAGAUAUUCUGCUCUGUUGCCUGAGCUGUGGAACCAUGAGACCCAUAAGCUAGAGCUGAAGAAACUGGUUUUCUUACUACCCACCCUGAGCGUGCGCAACGAUGAUCUUCUCUACAUCAUGGCCAAGGUGGGUGGGGAACAUGACAAGGCCUGGGUCAUCGCCGUUGGCAUGAAAAGUGCGGUUGUGGAGGGACUAGCCCCUGUUUCGACCGGACGGUACUGCCCCAGUACAAUGUUCUCCCCAUGUGCCUUCCCGUACCUCAACUACAUGACCCAAGGAAACAAGUCUGAAGAACCACUCGUUGGAUGUGAUGGAGGAAUCUUGGAAGAACAGGAAAUUCAAGCCGAGCACAGGAUAAGAGGGCCUGAGAUGGGCAAUCCAGUGGACAAAUACUUUAAGAGGAUGAAUGCUUCACAGUGUGCUCUGCAAGUGCUGUUGACUCAACGCUGGUUCAGGGAACUUGAUGAAUGGUUGGAUUCUCAGGGAUCAGCUUGUGAUGCAUACUGCAAAUCACUACCUUACUGGUGUCCAGCAUCAGCUCUGUGUUUUGAUAUUAAGGUGGUAAACUAUGCUUCCUAUAAUGGUGAUGGAGAAGGUGCUUCCAUGGCUGUAGAUUCCUGCUUACCAGCUUUGGACGAUUUCUAUAAACUACUGAAGCAGUCACCUCUGAGUGAUCCAUCAACAACUGAAGCCAUGAAGCGUCAAAUCAUGGUUGCCCUUGGCUCUCUAGACAGCAUCUUGGAAUUUGUACCGCUAAACCGUAUGCCAAGGAGCAUACAGAAGGUGCUUGUAGAUGUCUGCCUGGAACAAAAAGAAAAAACACUAGUAUGUGAACACUGCGAGAAGCCAGGCCUUACAGAGGAUGAAUCUGACGAAUGGCGGCAAUGGGGAUCAGACUCGGGGGACGAAUCGGAUGAAUGGCAGCAAGGGUCAUCCGACUCGGAGGAUGAAUCUGAUGAAUGGCAGCGAGUGGGACCUGACUUGGAUGACUCCCUAGAGACCCUCGGGAAGAAGCAGGCACAGGUUCUGGAUCGCCGGUCGGGGCACUCGUGUUGGCUGUAUUUUGUUUGCUGCGUAUUGGUAGUGGUGGCCGCAAGAGCGUUGAGCCAUCCCACUUUAAUGUCAUAG
rnacentral:rRNA from 1 species